GCCAGCAUGGUGUAGUGGUUUGAGUGUUGGACUAUGACUCUGGGGACCAGGGUUCAAUUCCCAGCUCAGCCA
rnacentral:tRNA from 1 species